ACGAACGCUGGCGGCAUGCCUAACACAUGCAAGUCGAACGGGUACCUUCGGGUGCUAGUGGCACACGGGUGCGUAACGCGUGGGAAUCUGCCCUUGGGUUCGGAAUAACUCAGCGAAAGCUGUGCUAAUACCGGAUGAUGUCGAAAGACCAAAGAUUUAUCGCUCGAGGAUGAGCCCGCGUUGGAUUAGCUAGUUGGUGGGGUAAAGGCCUACCAAGGCGACGAUCCAUAGCUGGUCUGAGAGGAUGAUCAGCCACACUGGGACUGAGACACGGCCCAGACUCCUACGGGAGGCAGCAGUGGGGAAUAUUGGACAAUGGGCGAAAGCCUGAUCCAGCAAUGCCGCGUGAGUGAUGAAGGCCUUAGGGUUGUAAAGCUCUUUUACCCGGGAUGAUAAUGACAGUACCGGGAGAAUAAGCUCCGGCUAACUCCGUG
rnacentral:rRNA from 1 species